GCAGGUCAGUGUCAUCGUGGCGCGAAUCCAACAGCUGCUUCCUCUUUAAUGGGCAGUGAUGGAGAACUUCUCCUGAGUUCAAACAUGACGAAGAUCUUCCCUUCUCACCUCUUCUAGUCAACACACCCGGGAGUUUCCAACCAGCAAAACCAGACGAGAAAAAUAAGUUUAAGGCAUGUGCACAGGAAGGAAAUGAAGAGCCUCAGGAGACGGGGUCAUGUGUUCAAGUCUCCAUAUAAGCACAUGCUGGGCUGUGAUUUCUGUGGCUGACGCUAGGUGGCGAGGGUGUCAGCGUGGUUCCGUAUCGUAUAGAGGACUUGCUUGGAGACUGCUCACAGCAUGCCUGCUUGGGAUUCCAGCCUUUCUGGAGCUUCAGUAUGAGUAUUUUGCUAAAAAUCUGGAGCCGUAGUGUCCGUCAUUCGUAAGGCUCCUGCUCCUAGGCUGGAGGUGGAGGGGGCCAGAGCAGUAGGUGCUCUUUACAGCCACCGCAUCUGAGGAUGCUUGGCAUUUUAGCGUCUGUUAACAUGACUGGAACCUUUCUUGAAACACCGCUGCCCACAGCCCAGUGGGGUGACCUUGGACUAUGACAACCUAUCAUACACCGGUGAAGAACGAGAAGAAGAGCUCAGAGGCUCAACUCAAAGAUGUGAUAAAUGGGAAAAGAGGUCAGAAUGUAAAAGACGCUGCCUGCCCUGUACUGGAGUGUGAGGAUCACAGGGGACUCCAUUCGUAUGUGUCGAUAAAACAGAAAGACACAAAAGGAACCAGAAAUGUCUGUGAAACAGUAUAGAAUCCGGAGACCAAGAGCAGAGGGUAGCCCUUGCUUCCCUGCCGGGAGACCCGGAGUGAUUUAUUCCCCUCUCUGCUGUGCAGUUGCUGAGAAUCUUAACCUCAUUUGGGCAUUCUCUUCACAGUCUCAGGCUGCAAAAGCCUGCUUACUGUCAUACCAACGUUGACUCUUGCUAAAAUGAAAACAUACUGAUUUUUUUUUGCCUUAUCUUUAGGGAACACCCUUAGACGUGGUGGUGUAGAGACACCAUUCCCACCACACAGGAGAGACCCAGAAGACUCUGCCCGCUUCUGUGCACCUCCUAGCAUGUGUGGGUGGAUCCUAUUGAAUGUGGCAAGUGCUU
rnacentral:lncRNA from 1 species